UACAGAGGGGGCAAGCGUUAUUCGGAAUUAUUGGGCGUAAAGGGCUCGUAGGCGGCCAACUAAGUCGGAUGUGAAAUCCCCAGGCUCAACCUGGGAACUGCAUCCGAUACUGGAUGGCUUGAAUCCGGGAGAGGGAUGCAGAAUUCCAGGUGUAGCGGUGAAAUGCGUAGAUAUCUGGAGGAAUACCGGUGGCGAAGGCGGCAUCCUGGACCGAGAUUGACGCUGAGGAGCGAAAGCUAGGGGAGCAAACGGG
rnacentral:rRNA from 1 species